UACGUAGGGUGCGAGCGUUAAUCGGAAUUACUGGGCGUAAAGCGUGCGCAGGCGGUUUUGUAAGCCAGAUGUGAAAUCCCCGGGCUUAACCUGGGAAUGGCAUUUGGGACUGCAAGGCUGGAGUGUGGCAGAGGAGACUGGAAUUCCAGGUGUAGCGGUGAAAUGCGUAGAUAUCUGGAGGAACACCGGCGGCGAAGGCGGCAUCCUGGACCAAUAUUGACGCUGAGGAGCGAAAGCCAGGGGAGCAAAGCGGGG
rnacentral:rRNA from 1 species